GGAUCAAUGAUGACCCCAAAAAUGUGUUUGUGGAACCUCUGAACAAAAUGAGUGAGAAAUCCAUACUUUCUGUACUUAUCAAACUGAGGUCC